rnacentral:rRNA from 1 species
GAUGAACGCUGGCGGCGUGCUUAACACAUGCACGCAGAACGGGCAAUAUUUCAUUGCGACUUCGGCGGAUUUGAUCUAUUUUUAGUGGCGGACGGGUGAGUAACGCGUGGGUAACCUGCCUUAUACAGGGGGAUAACAGUCAGAAAUGGCUGCUAAUACAGCAUAAGCGCACAGAGCUGCAUGGCUCAGUGUGAAAAACUCCGGAGGUCAUAAGAUGGACCCGCGUUGGAUUAGCUUGUUGGUGAGGUAACGUCCCACCAAGGCGACGCUCCAUAGCCGGUCUGGGAGUGUGAACGGCCACAUUGGGGCUGAGACACGCCCCAGACUCCUACGGUAGGCAGCAGUGGGGAAUAUUGCACAAUGGGGUAAGCCCUGAUGCAGCGACGCGGCGUGAAGGAAGAAGUAUCUCGGUAUGUAAUCUUCUAUCAGCAGGGAAGAUAGUGACGGUACCUGACUAAGGAUCCCCGGCUAACUACGUGCCAGCCGCCGCAGUAAUAC